GACGAACGCUGGCGGCGUGCUUAACACAUGCAAGUCGAGCGGAGCGGCGAACGGGUGAGUAACGCGUGAGUAACUGCCCCCCUCUCUGGGAUAACAGUUGGAAACGGCUGCUAAUACCGGAUAGUGGGGUAUGACUCGCGUCCUAUCAGCUUGUUGGUGGGGUAGUGGCCUACCAAGGCGACGACGGGUAGCCGGUCUGAGAGGGCGACCGGCCACAUUGGGCUGAGAUACGGCCCAAACUGCUACGGGAGGCAGCAGUGGGGAAUAUUGCACAAGGGGGGAAACCCUGAUGCAGCAACGCGGGGGCGGGAUGACGGCCUUCGGGUUGGAAACCGCUGUCAGCGAAGACGCGGUAGUGGCAGAAGAAGCACCGGCUAACUACGUGCCAGCAGCCGCGGUAAUUC
rnacentral:rRNA from 1 species